rnacentral:rRNA from 1 species
CCUACGGGUGGCAGCAGUGGGGAAUAUUGGUCAAUGGAGGCAACUCUGACCCAGCAACGUCGCGUGAAUGAUGAAGGUCCUCGGAUUGUAAAGCUUCGUGAUGGGGGAUGAAAACAAUGACGGUACUCCAAUAGCGUGCCACGGCUAACUACGGGCCAGCAGCCGCGGGAAUACGUAGGUGGCAGGCGUUAUGCGGAAUGACUGGGGGUAAAGGGUUCGUUGGUGGUUUAGGAAGGUGGCGGGGUAAUUCCGGGGGUCAACCCCGGGGCUAGCGCUGAAACUAGUAGCCUAGAGUGCAGGGGGGGUAAGCGGAAUUCCUAGUGUAGCGGUGGAAUGCGUAGAUAUUACGAAGAACACC